GUGAGGAAUAUUGGUCAAUGGGCGGGAGCCUGAACCAGCCAAGUCGCGUGAAGGAAGAAGGAUCUAUGGUUCGUAAACUUCUUUUGCAGGGGAAUAAAGUGCAGGACGUGUCCUGUUUUGUAUGUACCCUGAGAAUAAGGAUCGGCUCACUCCGUGCCAGCAGCCGCGGUAAUACGGAGGAUCCGAGCGUUAUCCGGAUUUAUUGGGUUUAAAGGGUGCGUAGGUGGUUUGAUAAGUCAGCGGUGAAAGUUUGCAGCUUAACUGUAAAAAUGCCGUUGAAACUGUCGGACUUGAGUGUAAAUGAGGUAGGCGGAAUGCGUGGUGUAGCGGUGAAAUGCAUAGAUAUCACGCAGAACUCCGAUUGCGAAGGCAGCUUACUAAGCUACAACUGACACUGAAGCACGAAAGCGUGGGGAUCAAACAGGAUUAGAAACCCUUGUAGUCC
rnacentral:rRNA from 1 species